GUGCUUGCUUCAGCAGCACACACACUAAACCUGGAACAGUAACAGAGAAGAUUAUCAGGGCUCCUGCACAAAGAUGGCAUUGAAGUGCUUAAAGCCUUCCAUACUUUG